rnacentral:rRNA from 1 species
UACGGAGGGUGCAAGCGUUAUCCGGAUUCACUGGGUUUAAAGGGUGCGUAGGUGGGCAGGUAAGUCAGUGGUGAAAUCUCCGGGCUUAACUCGGAAACUGCCGUUGAUACUAUCUAUCUUGAAUAUCGUGGAGGUAAGCGGAAUAUGUCAUGUAGCGGUGAAAUGCUUAGAUAUGACAUAGAACACCCAUUGCGAAGGCAGCUUACUAAACGAUCAUUGACACUGAGGCACGAAAGCGUGGGGAGCAAACAGG